rnacentral:rRNA from 1 species
CCUACGGGGGACAGCAGUCGAGAAUCAUUCACAAUGGGGGAAACCCUGAUGGUGCGACGCCGCGUGGGGGAAUGAAGGUCUUCGGAUUGUAAACCCCUGUCAUGUGGGAGCAAAUUAAAAAGAUAGUACCACAAGAGGAAGAGACGGCUAACUCUGUGCCAGCAGCCGCGGUAAUACAGAGGUCUCAAGCGUGGUUCGGAAUCACUGGGCGUAAAGGGUGCGUAGGCGGUUUCGUAAGUCGUGUGUGAAAGGCGCGGGCUCAACCCGCGGACGGCACAUGAUACUGCGAGACUAGAGUAAUGGAGGGGGAACCGGAAUUCUCGGUGUAGCAGUGAAAUGCGUAGAUAUCGGGAGGAACACUCGUGGCGAAGGCGGGUUCCUGGACAUUAACUGACGCUGAGGCACGAAGGCCAGGGGAGCGAAAGGGAUUAGAUACCCGUGUAGUC